GACGAACGCUGGCGGCGUGCUUAACACAUGCAAGUCGAACGGAAAGGCCCUGCUUUUGUGGGGUGCUCGAGUGGCGAACGGGUGAGUAACACGUGAGUAACCUGCCCUGGACUUUGGGAUAACUUCAGGAAACUGGGGCUAAUACCGGAUAGGAGCUCCUGCUGCAUGGUGGGGGUUGGAAAGUUUCGGCGGUUGGGGAUGGACUCGCGGCUUAUCAGCUUGUUGGUGGGGUAGUGGCUUACCAAGGCUUUGACGGGUAGCCGGGCUGAGAGGGUGACCGGCCACAUUGGGACUGGAAUACGGCCCAGACUCCUACGGGAGGCAGCAGUGGGGAAUAUUGCACAAUGGGCGGAAGCCUGAUGCAGCAACGCCGCGUGCGGGAUGACGGCCGUCGGGUUGUAAACCGCUUUCGCCUGUGACGAAGCGUGAGUGACGGUAAUGGGUAAAGAAGCACCGGCUAACUACGUG
rnacentral:rRNA from 1 species